rnacentral:rRNA from 1 species
CCCUUAGAUGUCCUGGGCCGCACGCGCGCUACACUGAUGUAUGCAACGAGUUUAUAACCUUGGCCUGAAAGGUCUGGGUAAUCUUUUGAACGUGCAUCGUGAUAGGGAUAGAUUAUUGCAAUUGUUAAUCUUGAACGAGGAAUUCCUAGUAAACGCGAGUCAUCAGCUCGCAUUGAUUACGUCCCUGCCCUUUGUACACACCGCCCGUCGCACCUACCGAUUGAAUGGUUCGGUGAAGAUCUCGGACUUCGAUAUUUAUUCUUUAUUGAGUUUAUAUUGUGGGAAGUUAUCUAAACCUCAUCAUUUAGAGGAAGGUGAAGUCGUAACA